CCCGCCUCGGGCACACAUCAGCGUGAGAUCCCAGAAAAACAAUGAAAUGUAAUGGAAAAAGUAGCUGGGAAGCAUUUUGGGCAUACUUGUUGAAAAGUUUCCACCCCUGCCUAUACACAUACCAGUACACACCUAAAUAUAUGUAUUGCCUUGGAGCUAGUAAGGAAAUAAGCAGGGUCAGUGACCUGCCUAUUUUAGGUAAUAAGGGUCAAAGUUGCAAGAUAAAUGAAGAUAUAUAUCUGCACCGGCAAACCUCAGUAGUAUCAGCUCUCACCAUGGAAGCAAUAUUCUGCAGAAGUGGCAAAGAGACACCAGAACCGAUCAAAGCAGAAGUGUCAGGUACAAUCCCACUGUGGCUUCAGGGGACACUUCUACGCAAUGGACCCGGCCUUUUCUCCUUUGGGAAUACAUCUUAUAAACACUGGUUCGAUGGAAUGUCUCUUAUUCACAGUUUCACUUUUAAGCAGGGUGAUGUAUAUUACAGAAGCAAAUUUCUCAGGAGUGAUACUUACAAGAAAAACAUUGCUGCCAACAGGAUUGUGGUGUCAGAAUUUGGCACACUAGCCUACCCUGACCCAUGCAAAAAUAUAUUCUCAAAGGCCUUUACCUACUUGCUGAACAUCAUUCCAGAUUUCACAGACAAUAAUCUUGUGAACAUUAUAAAAUACGGAGAAGAUUACUACGCAUCAUCAGAAAUAAACUACAUCAACCAAGUCAACCCAGAGACUCUUGACACAAUAGGAAGGGUCAAUUACAGAAACCAUAUAGCCUUGAACUUGGCAACAGCACACCCUCAUUAUGAUGAUGAAGGAAAUACCUAUAACAUGGGCACUGCCAUUAUGGCACUGAGCGGACCCAAAUAUGUCAUCUUCAUGGUGCCUGCUCCCAGACCAGAUCUAAAGAACAUGAGAAAAAAAAAUCUGGCACUGAAGAAUCUGCAGCAGGUUUGCUCAAUUCCGUUCCGCUCAAAACUCUACCCAAGCUACUUUCACAGCUUUGGGAUGACAGAAAAUUACAUCAUCUUCAUUGAGCAGCCCUUCAAGCUGGACAUCUUGCGUCUCUCCACAGCUUACUUCAGAGGAGUCACUUGGGGCAGGUGCCUCAAUUAUGACAAAAAUGAUGUUACUCUGAUCCACAUAAUCAACAGGCAUACAGGGUUGGCAGUGGACACUAAGUUCUAUGGGGAUGCGUUCAUAGUUUUUCACCACAUCAACGCCUACGAGGAGGAUGGACAUGUAGUAAUCGACCUGAUCUCGUAUCAAGACAACAGUCUCUAUGACAUUUUCUACACUGAUUUCAUGCAGCAGGACAUGGAGAAAUUGGCAGAGAUAAGUAAGGAUAUUUCUCCACCAGUUUCUCAGCGUUUCGUCGUCCCGGUCAAUGCUGAUCUCAAGGAAAAUCCAUUGGGCAAGAACCUUGUAAGUCUAAAGGACACAUCAGCUACAGCAGUGUUACAGAACGAUGGUUCCUUUUACUGUACUCCAGAAACGCUGUUUCAGGGUCUUGAGUUACCUGGGAUCAACUACAAAUACAAUGGAAAGAAGUACAGAUAUUUCUAUGGCUCUGUGAUGGACUGGUCACCAAUAUCAAAUAAGAUUGCAAAAGUAGACACAGUUACCAAAACACACCUGGAAUGGGCAGAAGAGGAUUGCUACCCAUCUGAACCCAAGUUUGUGGCAUCACCUGAUGCUGUGGAUGAGGAUGAUGGUGUUAUCUUAUCAUCUGUUGUCUCAGUCAAUCCCCAAAAGUCACCCUUCAUGCUGGUGUUGGAUGCGAAGACCUUGAAAGAGAUCGCUCGUGCUUCAGUUAACACAUUUGUUCACUUGGACCUGCAUGGAGUUUUCAUUCCACAGGAAUCUGAACAGCAAUAGAAGCAAAUAACGUUCCUUCAAAAUGCUUAAUUAAUCAUGCUGCUUACUUUAUCAGCCUAUGGGCAAAGUGCAGUUUAAACUGAAACAUCUGCAAAGAACAUAUACACAGUGUGAACUGAAGCUAGUCUGAAGAGCAAGAAUCCAGUCAGACGAGGAAGAGAUGCAGUAUGAUUAUG